AAGUGACGCGGUAGAGGAGCGUUCUGUAAGCCUGUGAAGGUGAGUUGAGAAGCUUGCUGGAGGUAUCAGAAGUGCGAAUGCUGACAUGAGUAACGACAAUGGGUGUGAAAAACACCCACGCCGAAAGACCAAGGGUUCCUGCGCAACGUUAAUCGACGCAGGGUUAGUCGGUUCCUAAGGCGAGGCUGAAAAGCGUAGUCGAUGGGAAACAGGUUAAUAUUCCUGUACUUCUGGUUACUGCGAUGGAGGGACGGAGAAGGCUAGGCCAGCUUGGCGUUGGUUGUCCAAGUUUAAGGUGGUAGGCUGAAAUCUUAGGUAAAUCCGGGGUUUCAAGGCCGAGAGCUGAUGACGAGUCGUCUUUUAGAUGACGAAGUGGUUGAUGCCAUGCUUCCAAGAAAAGCUUCUAAGCUUCAGGUAACCAGGAACCGUACCCCAAACCGACACAGGUGGUCGGGUAGAGAAUACCAAGGCGCUUGAGAGAACUCGGGUGAAGGAACUAGGCAAAAUGGCACCGUAACUUCGGGAGAAGGUGCGCCGGCUAGGGUGAAGGAUUUACUCCGUAAGCUCUGGCUGGUCGAAGAUACCAGGCCGCUGCGACUGUUUAUUAAAAACACAGCACUCUGCAAACACGAAAGUGGACGUAUAGGGUGUGACGCCUGCCCGGUGCCGGAAGGUUAAUUGAUGGGGUUAGCGCAAGCGAAGCUCUUGAUCGAAGCCCCGGUAAACGGCGGCCGUAACUAUAACGGUCCUAAGGUAGCGAAAUUCCUUGUCGGGUAAGUUCCGACCUGCACGAAUGGCGUAACGAUGGCGGCGCUGUCUCCACCCGAGACUCAGUGAAAUUGAAAUCGCUGUGAAGAUGCAGUGUAUCCGCGGCUAGACGGAAAGACCCCGUGAACCUUUACUGUAGCUUUGCACUGGACUUUGAGCCUGCUUGUGUAGGAUAGGUGGGAGGCUUUGAAGCGUGGACGCCAGUUCGCGUGGAGCCAUCCUUGAAAUACCACCCUGGCAUGCUUGAGGUUCUAACUCUGGUCCGUGAUCCGGAUCGAGGACAGUGUAUGGUGGGCAGUUUGACUGGGGCGGUCUCCUCCUAAAGAGUAACGGAGGAGUACGAAGGUGCGCUCAGACCGGUCGGAAAUCGGUCGUAGAGUAUAAAGGCAAAAGCGCGCUUGACUGCGAGACAGACACGUCGAGCAGGUACGAAAGUAGGUCUUAGUGAUCCGGUGGUUCUGUAUGGAAGGGCCAUCGCUCAACGGAUAAAAGGUACUCCGGGGAUAACAGGCUGAUACCGCCCAAGAGUUCAUAUCGACGGCGGUGUUUGGCACCUCGAUGUCGGCUCAUCACAUCCUGGGGCUGAAGCCGGUCCCAAGGGUAUGGCUGUUCGCCAUUUAAAGUGGUACGCGAGCUGGGUUUAGAACGUCGUGAGACAGUUCGGUCCCUAUCUGCCGUGGACGUUUGAGAUUUGAGAGGGGCUGCUCCUAGUACGAGAGGACCGGAGUGGACGAACCUCUGGUGUUCCGGUUGUCACGCCAGUGGCAUUGCCGGGUAGCUAUGUUCGGAAAAGAUAACCGCUGAAAGCAUCUAAGCGGGAAACUUGCCUCAAGAUGAGAUCUCACUGGGAACUUGAUUCCCCUGAAGGGCCGUCGAAGACUACGACGUUGAUAGGCUGGGUGUGUAAGCGUUGUGAGGCGUUGAGCUAACCAGUACUAAUUGCCCGUGAGGCUUGACCAU
rnacentral:rRNA from 1 species